GAUGAACGCUAGCGGGAGGCCUAACACAUGCAAGCCGAGCGGUAUUGUUUCUUCGGAAAUGAGAGAGCGGCGUACGGGUGCGGAACACGUGUGCAACCUGCCUUUAUCUGGGGGAUAGCCUUUCGAAAGGAAGAUUAAUACUCCAUAAUAUAUUGAACGGCAUCGUUUAAUAUUGAAAGCUCCGGCGGAUAGAGAUGGGCACGCGCAAGAUUAGCUAGUUGGUGAGGUAACGGCUCACCAAGGCGAUGAUCUUUAGGGGGCCUGAGAGGGUGAUCCCCCACACUGGUACUGAGACACGGACCAGACUCCUACGGGAGGCAGCAGUGAGGAAUAUUGGUCAAUGGGUGCAAGCCUGAACCAGCCAUCCCGCGUGAAGGACGACUGCCCUAUGGGUUGUAAACUUCUUUUGUAUAGGGAUAAACCUACCCUCGUGAGGGUAGCUGAAGGUACUAUACGAAUAAGCACCGGCUAACUCCGUGCCAGCAGCCGCGGUAAUACGGAGGGUGCAAGCGUUAUCCGAAUUUAUUGGGUUUAAAGGGUCCGUAGGCGGACUUAUAAGUCAGUGGUGAAAGCCUGUCGCUUAACGAUAGAACUGCCAUUGAUACUGUAAGUCUUGAGUAUAUUUGAGGUAGCUGGAAUAAGUAGUGUAGCGGUGAAAUGCAUAGAUAUUACUUAGAACACCAAUUGCGAAGGCAGGUUACCAAGAUAUAACUGACGCUGAGGGACGAAAGCGUGGGGAGCGAACAGGAUUAGAUACCCUGGUAGUCCACGCCGUAAACGAUGCUAACUCGUUUUUGGGCUUUAGGGUUCAGAGACCAAGCGAAAGUGAUAAGUUAGCCACCUGGGGAGUACGCUCGCAAAAGUGAAACUCAAAGGAAUUGACGGGGGCCCGCACAAGCGGUGGAUUAUGUGGUUUAAUUCGAUGAUACGCGAGGAACCUUACCAAGACUUAAAUGGGAAUUGACAGCUUUAGAAAUAGAGCUUUCUUCGGACAAUUUUCAAGGUGCUGCAUGGUUGUCGUCAGCUCGUGCCGUGAGGUGUUAGGUUAAGUCCUGCAACGAGCGCAACCCCUGUCACUAGUUGCCAUCAUUCAGUUGGGGACUCUAGUGAGACUGCCUACGCAAGUAGAGAGGAAGGUGGGGAUGACGUCAAAUCAUCACGGCCCUUACGUCUUGGGCCACACACGUAAUACAAUGGCCGGUACAGAGGGCAGCUACACAGCGAUGUGAUGCAAAUCUCGAAAGCCGGUCUCAGUUCGGAUUGGAGUCUGCAACUCGACUCUAUGAAGCUGGAAUCGCUAGUAAUCGCGCAUCAGCCAUGGCGCGGUGAAUACGUUCCCGGGCCU
rnacentral:rRNA from 1 species